CUCUAUCCUUUUACCCAGCCUUUCCCAGUUCAUUUUCCUUGUGAAAAGAGCCCUGUCCCUAGCACCACGUCAGCAGCAUCAGGAGUGGUGCAUGUGACUAAUCCCCAAACCCUCAGGCAGGGAUCACAGCAGGAUGGUCUGUCCCUUCUCUCCCAUAUGUUCCCUCUCAAUGUUUUCCUCCAGGGUUACAAUGAGGCACUGAGGGCUUGUGUUUCUCACUGGGAACAGUGAGGAAAGUUGUGGAUGGACAGGGUGUCAUUCAAAGAUGCCAAGCACGCAACAGCUCCUGUUGGUUUCAGCACUUUUGAAAAUCAGGUCACUUCAGGAAUGUACCUGUUGGACAAUCAAAGGAGUUGCUCCAUUCCUAUGGACCCC